GCGAGCGGCGGAUGGGUGAGUAACACGUGGGGAACCUGCCCCAUAGUCUGGGAUACCACUUGGAAACAGGUGCUAAUACCGGAUAAGAAAGCAGAUCGCAUGAUCAGCUUUUAAAAGGCGGCGUAAGCUGUCGCUAUGGGAUGGCCCCGCGGUGCAUUAGCUAGUUGGUAAGGUAAAGGCUUACCAAGGCGAUGAUGCAUAGCCGAGUUGAGAGACUGAUCGGCCACAUUGGGACUGAGACACGGCCCAAACUCCUACGGGAGGCAGCAGUAGGGAAUCUUCCACAAUGGACGCAAGUCUGAUGGAGCAACGCCGCGUGAGUGAAGAAGGUUUUCGGAUCGUAAAGCUCUGUUGUUGGUGAAGAAGGAUAGAGGUAGUAACUGGCCUUUAUUUGACGGUAAUCAACCAGAAAGUCACGGCUAACUACGUGCCAGCAGCCGCGGUAAUACGUAGGUGGCAAGCGUUGUCCGGAUUUAUUGGGCGUAAAGCGAGCGCAGGCGGAAGAAUAAGUCUGAUGUGAAAGCCCUCGGCUUAACCGAGGAACUGCAUCGGAAACUGUUUUUCUUGAGUGCAGAAGAGGAGAGUGGAACUCCAUGUGUAGCGGUGGAAUGCGUAGAUAUAUGGAAGAACACCAGUGGCGAAGGCGGCUCUCUGGUCUGCAACUGACGCCGAGGCUCGAAAGCAUGGGUAGCGAACAGGAUUUAGAUACCCUGGGUAGUCCCAUGCCCGUAAACCGAUGAGUGCUAA
rnacentral:rRNA from 1 species